AAAUUGGAUGGAAAGAAAUUCUGUGUGCUCCCAGGAUUCCAGUUCCUUACCGGAGGUUGGUGCCGUCUGAGUCUGAAAAGCUGCCCUCUUGCCGUGUUCAUGCUUUGGUAGAACACCUUCAGAGCCUUGGCAAGCUCUCGGUCAGAGCCGGCUUGCUGUGUGCACAUUUGGCUCAUCUCCCUGGCGGAUGGCAGUUGCACAGUCAUCCCGCCGAUCUUCAGAGUGUUGGAAGGCUUCAGGGCUGAGGUGGAAAAAGGUAACAUUGAUUUAUGUAUCUCUUUCUCUGGGCAUCUCUAUAUUUAUUUAUUUUGGUGGCAUUCUACUGCAUCAGCAUUUAUCAGGCACCAGUUUGGAUCCAUCCAAGGGAAAGGGGAAAUCUCACAGGGCAGAAGAAAUGUCCGGCAUUUUUUGUUUAUGAAACAAGAUAUGAAUUAACUCAUUUAAAAGUUUGUUUCUUAAAAGACAAAUACACAUCCCAAAUGUAGGAGUCUAGGGAUAAGCUAAACAGCCAAGCCUGGAGCAGUCUCUCACCUUGACCAGAAGCAAUUUUUGCAAGUGAUGCUUUGAGAAGCACGUUCUGCUCUCUCAGGGUUCUGUUAAUGUUCCUGAGCAGUUCUGUCUCCUGCUCUAGCUUGAGCAGCUUCAGAUAAAGUUCUGGUAUCUGGUUUGAUGCUGCCUACCAGAAAACAUGUCAGUUUCAUCUUUUGUUGUAUCAUCUGCAUAUCCUUUGAGACUGGCAAUGUUUGCUACCAUGGGAAAAUCAAAUGGGAUGGGAGUGUGUGUAUGGUGAGCAGAGUUUAAGCCCCUCAGGGUACACAGGAGUAAAUAAAGAAAACGUUUGUUAAGGGGGAAGGAACGUCAAGCAGCCGUCAUCAGAGAUUUUCUAGCCACCUGGGAUGCCCACUUUAGUGUCCUAUGUACACACUUGGCUUAUAUCCUUCACAGUGGAAAUUUUCUUGGUGUCUACCAGGAUGUGGCCUUCACCUGUGACCCUGAGGCCCAGCUGAGAGCAGCUCAGCUCGGUGCAGCCUUCUGUAAUGGGGAGAGACACAGUCAAAGAAAGAAACAUCCCAGUCGCCCAGCUCCAGUGUCAGCUUCAUGCAGUAGGCCAGCGACUGGAGCCAGAUGUGAGCUGAGCCCAAACAGACGACCUCGACAGGAUCCCAGAAAGGGUCGUCUUCUCGAGCCACAGGGCCGUGAUCUCCAUCUAGAAAGCGCUGGUAAAGUUCCUGCAUUAGGAAUUUCCUAUUGAUGAACUUGGCUUUUGACCAUAUCCACACCUGGAAACACAGAGGGGUUCACACCCAGUGCACAGCAGAUCCAGGACAACAGCCUGCCGCUGUCUUCCUCCUCACUGGGUGAGGACAGGGCCUCUGUCAACACUGGCUCUGGAGAGGAAACAAACCUGAAGCCACAGGAGGAGGGAUUCCAGAGGGAUUCCAGCCGCCCUCUCCAGCUGGAAGAAGUCGUAAUCGAACCUGCUCAGGUCCUCACUGCCCCACUCCGAAGGAAACCCCACGUACAGGUGAGGUCAGAGGAGUGAAGUGACUUGCCCAAGACCACACAGCGAGUCAGGAGCAGGCCUGUCCCUCCAGCAGUGGUGCCAUGUUGUCCCCAAGCCAUGGUGGCAGAGGAGCUGGUGUGAAUGCCCCAUCCUGCCACGUCUGUGAUGUGGGCACCUCACAUGACUGUCCCCUCCCAGCUUUUGGGGGGGACCUAGGACAUUCUGUGAGCCUGCAGGAAAGUUUACCAAAUGCUGCAGCUUUGUCCUGGUGGUGAUGGGCACCCCAUUAACGGCAACCUUGCAUUUGCUGUGUGGAGUGACCAUCACUUUACCGUCGGCAUUUGUGAAGGAAGCGUGUUUAUCUGAAAUUCUAAGAAGACGAGAGUCAGUCUAAGACACCCAGCAAACGGCGGUUUCCGUGAGCAGGUACGCUGACCUUUCUCAUGUGCACGGGAGGGAAGGUCUACAGCUGCGGAGGAUGGCAGGUGGCAUCUCGGGGCCUCCUGUGUGCUGUGGCCCAUGAUGCAUGGGGACAGCAGCGGGCGCAGAAGGACCCUGCCCUUGGGGAGCACGGGGAGCUGGGAGACAGCAGGUAAGGGCUUCAUAACAGAACGAACACCAGCUGAGGGCCUAGCGCUGCGGGGAGCCGGCCAAGGCCACACUGGAGUCCUCCCGCUCCCAGGCCAGCGGGAUGGGGUGGUGGGAAAAUGGCAGCAAGCAAGCUUCAGAAGAGACACUCAGGAGGCGACUCUUAACGAGCCUCACCUACUCCGGGGUUGGAGCCCAGGAAGCAAACCAGCACUGCACCCUAGAUUUCAGCCAGAGGACGAAAGCCCUGCCCUCAGCUUUCUCAGACCAGCCCUGGAGUAGGUGGCCCGGGGAGACCUGGGCAGUGUCCCUGCUUGUCCUGCAGACUGUGUGGCUCUGCAGACCUCUAGAUGGAGGAGGCACAAUUCUCUAAUGCUAGACGAGGACACUGAUCAUGGAAACUCACCCCAAACCUUGAAUCGUGAUAGCAUUUGAGGCAGCCCGACCAGCGUCACAUGAACCUGAAAAGAAUCAAGAUAUAAUUUAUUUUGAAAAUAAAUCAGACACUUUCAGAA
rnacentral:lncRNA from 1 species